AGGACGAACGCUGGCGGCGUGCUUAACACAUGCAAGUCGAGCGGAAAGGCCCUUCGGGGUACUCGAGCGGCGAACGGGUGAGUAACACGUGAGCAACCUGCCCUUAGCUUCGGGAUAGCUCCGGGAAACCGGAAUUAAUACCGGAUAUGACUAUGGCCGACAUCAGCCAUGGUGGAAAGUUUUUCGGCUAGGGAUGGACUCGCGGCCUAUCAGCUAGUUGGUGAGGUAACGGCUCACCAAGGCGACGACGGGUAGCCGGCCUGAGAGGGCGACCGGCCACACUGGGACUGAGACACGGCCCAGACUCCUACGGGAGGCAGCAGUGGGGAAUAUUGCGCAAUGGGCGAAAGCCUGACGCAGCGACGCCGCGUGGGGGAUGAAUGCCUUCGGGUUGUAAACCCCUUUCAGCAGGGACGAAGCGAAAGUGACGGUACCUGCAGAAGAAGCGCCGGCUAACUACGCGCUAGCAGCCGC
rnacentral:rRNA from 1 species